ensembl:snoRNA U3 Small nucleolar RNA U3
UAAGACUAACUUUUCAGGGAUCAUUUCUAUAGUUUGUUAUUAGAGAAGUUUCUCUGAACGUGUAGAGCACCGUU